rnacentral:rRNA from 1 species
UACGGGGGGGGCAAGCGUUGUUCGGAAUUACUGGGCGUAAAGGGCUCGUAGGCGGCCAACUAAGUCAGACGUGAAAUCCCUCGGCUUAACCGGGGAACUGCGUCUGAUACUGGAUGGCUUGAGGUUGGGAGAGGGAUGCGGAAUUCCCGGUGUAGCGGUGGAAUGCGUAGAGAUCGGGAAGAACAUCAGUGGCGAAGGCGGCCUGCUGGGCUGUUGCUGACGCUGAGGAGCGAAAGCAUGGGGAGCGAACAGG